GCAGGUGAAUGCAACGUCAAGCGAUGGGCGUUGUGCUCCAUAUUGUCUUACUUCCUAAUUUUGAAUUAUUGCAUAGCACAAUUUAAUUCGUCAUAUGCCGGUGAUUACCGGCAUUU
rfam:Edwardsiella ictaluri 93-146, complete genome.